AGAUGAUAAUGACGGUAUCUGGUAAAGAAACCCCGGCUAACUCCGUGCCAGCAGCCGCGGUAAUACGGAGGGGGUUAGCGUUGUUCGGAAUUACUGGGCGUAAAGCGUACGUAGGCGGAUUGUAAAGUAUGGGGUGAAAUCCCAGGGCUCAACCCUGGAACUGCCCUGGAAACUGUCAAUCUAGAGUUCGAGAGAGGUGAGUGGAAUUCCGAGUGUAGAGGUGAAAUUCGUAGAUAUUUGGAGGAACACCAGUGGCGAAGGCGGCUCACUGGCUCGAUACUGACGCUGAGGUACGAAAGUGUGGGGAGCAAACAGGAUUAGAUACCCUGGUAGUCCACACCGUAAACGAUGAAUGCCAGACGUCGGGGGGCUUGCCCUUCGGUGUCACACCUAACGGAUUAAGCAUUCCGCCUGGGGAGUACGGUCGCAA
rnacentral:rRNA from 1 species